UCCACCUCUUUUUCUUUUUGCGACAGGGGAGACAGAUCGAGAGAUGGUUUCCCUUACAGUAACAAUGGCAAUUCUUAAUUAGAAGGAAAAAAAAAGGUGUAUGAUCUUUUCUGUGAAGAUUAGAGCUGUGAAGGAUAAGAAGAAAGAUGAAAAACUUGAUUUUGGUCAAUGGGUAAUUUGAACAAUGGGUGUUUGGUCAGAUUUCAUUCCUGAUUCGUGGUGCAGAGAUUCUAAUCUGAACGAUGGGUGUUUUAGUAUGUAUUUGAAAUUCUUAUUGGCACAUUGUGUUUCGAUGUUAUGAUGAACGACCCAGAUAAAAUAACAGGUUUUGGGAAUUACUACUUUCAAUUUAAGGCCAUUGACGUUGUUUCGCUUUUAAGUCCUCAUUAAUAUUUAAUGUGGCCAUUUGUUUUUGGUGGUGUGGUCUCUGAUUACGUUGUCUGUGACAGAGAGGGAUAAGGAGCACCGAUGUUACACUUUUUCUUAUACUACAACCUCAUGUCCUGCAAGGCUGUGCAAGGGCUGGGAAAUGUUGGUUCCAGGUAACCAUCUGGAUGCAGCUAAUUUAUUGCAGCCGGUGCAUUGCUUUGCCGGAUUGGAUACCGUGGAAUCUUGAGAUGGUAUGGGGUAUGGUGGUGAUGCUGUAUCAGGAAUGUUGUUGUGUGAAGGUGCUUUUGUGUAAUUUUCUAAUUAGAUUGGAUUGAAGAGCGCUGUAUUGGCUAUAUGUCAUGUUACCUAUCCUGUAGUAUUAUGCAACUUAUGUGGUUCAUCGAUGGCUGAGUGGAAAGGACUAGAAUGGGUGAUGUAAGGUAGACGCACAAUGGGAUUUUCAUGUUGAUGAGCAAAUGCAAGUAAUUGAUAAGGAUGGUUCCUAACUUUUACUACAAUGUUGAUGUGCACGGAAAAAUGACGCUUAAUCAUAUGGCAACUGCAGAAGGGAUUUCAGGGUUUGGACGAUUUACCAAAGAGACAGUGUCCAUCAAAGAAGAUCAUUCUCCAAGAAUUCACUUGACGUCUCCUUCUUCAAAUCCGUGAGUUCUCCAUGUAAGGAAAAUUCUUCAUCAAAGUAGAUAGUGAUAAGAAAUGUUUUAAAAGAUCUCUGAGGUUUUCUUUGAUCCCAAACGAUGUGGCUUCUUCGGCGAAAAUAACUUCCUAAGAAGAAAUUAAAGCUUUCUCAUGACGUGAAACAAAACAAGAAUGUCGCGAACUAUUCUUUGUUUAUCGGUGGCCUUAUUCCUCUUGAUGAAGCUACAAAAAGAUGGCCUUGGAGAUAUCAAGCAGAUGAGGUGGAUGGAAAUCACGAUGGCGGUUUUGGAGAACGUAUUUAUUUUCUUGAACACUUGGACACUAACGAGGGAAAUUGAGAGGUUGCUUUUGUCAAUUGGGUUAGUGUGUCUGAACACAAAAUGAAUGAGAAUUACCGGGGACAAUGGAACAUAUUCCACGUAUUGGUUCACUUCUUUUUGUUUGAUUUCUGAACUGUUCAUUAUGUAAAUUCUGAAAGUAUUAGGUGUGUUUUACUGUGAUGCUAUGUCAAA